ACGAACGCUGGCGGCGUGCUUAACACAUGCAAGUCGAACGCGCCUGUCCUCUGGGUUUCUGGGGGGUGGGUGAGUGGCGAACGGGUGAGUAACACGUGAGUAACCUGCCCCCUUCUUCGGGAUAACGGUCUGAAAGGGCUGCUAAUACCGGGUAUUCACUGGUCUCCGCAUGGGGUCUGGUGGAAAGGUUUUUUUCUGGUGGGGGAUGGGCUCGCGGCCUAUCAGCUUGUUGGUGGGGUGAUGGCCCACCAAGGCUUUGACGGGUAGCCGGCCUGAGAGGGUGACCGGUCACAUUGGGACUGAGAUACGGCCCAGACUCCUACGGGAGGCAGCAGUGGGGAAUAUUGCACAAUGGGCGCAAGCCUGAUGCAGCGACGCCGCGUGAGGGAUGGAGGCCUUCGGGUUGUGAACCUCUUUCGCCCGUGUUCAAGCCGCGACGUGGGUCGUGGUGAGGGUAGUGGGUAAAGAAGCGCCGGCUAACUACGUG
rnacentral:rRNA from 1 species